rnacentral:rRNA from 1 species
UCGCCGCCGACGACGUCGCGAGAAGUCCACUGAACCUUAUCAUUUAGAGGAAGGAGAAGUCGUAACAAGGUUUCCGUAGGUGAACCUGCGGAAGGAUCAUUGUMGACACCUGCAAAGCAGAGCGACCCGUGAACCGUUUUUCAACGCCCGGGAUACCGGGGGACGCCUAGCCGCCCGGUAGCCCGAAAGCUCCGGACUCUGGGGGGGCAACCCACCCCCAGCGGACGGAGCUCUAAACAAACCCCGGCGCGCGAAGCGCCAAGGUACUCCAACGAUAGGGCAUGCGCCCGUAGCCCUGGGUUCCAGUGUGCUCGGGAUGCUGUUCAGCAUCAUAAAGUCUAAACGANNNGUGUGAAUUGCAGAAUCCCGUGAACCAUCGAGUCUUUGAACGCAAGUUGCGCCCGAAGCCUUGGCUGAGGGCACGUCUGCCUGGGUGUCACGCAUCGCGUUGCGUCCAAACCCUUCGCCCUUCGGACGUUGCGGUGAUGGUCUGGAUGCGGAAGCUGGCCUCCCGYGGCCACGAGCCACGGAUGGCCCAAACACGUGCUAGGGAAGCGAAGCGCCACGGCAUUCGGUGGUUGAUCCAAGCCCCAGAAGCAGUGCCGGCGGUGGCCGCAUCUGYCCCUAGCCGACGACCCUAAACGUUAACCAACGCGACCUCAGGUCAGGCGGGGCUACCCGCUGAGUUUAAGCAUAUCAAUAAGCGGAGG